rnacentral:rRNA from 1 species
CAACGUGGUCAACCUACCUCAGCGUGGGGGAUAACUAGCCGAAAGGUUAGCUAAUACCGCAUACGAUCGCUAAGUGGCAUCACAUGGCGAUGAAGGGAGCAAUCCGCGCAGAGAGGGGACUGCGUCCCAUUAGUUAGUUGGUGGGGUAAUGGCCUACCAAGACUCCGAUGGGUAGCUGGUUUGAGAGAGCGACCAGCCACACUGGGACUGAGAAACGGCCCAG